AUAGCAUUCUGUCCUCAGCGGCAUAUCUUACUCACAGCCCACAACAUGCACAGCCACUGGUGUUGGACAUUGCUGUUGUUUGACCUUUGAUUUCUUUCCUCUAUCUCCAGGGAAUGAUGGGAAUGAAAGGCCAACCUGGACUUCCCGGCCCCCCUGGAGAAGGAGUGAUAAUCCCUUGAGUCCGGACUUUGUUCCAUCUCUUUUCAACUACGUUCCAUCUCCAGAGAAGAGGAAAAGAAAAAUGAGACUGGAGGUUUUCAACAGACGACAGGGAGCAAAGCUACAGAAGAUGGAGCAGACAAAGCUAUCUGCGAAAGCCAUCCCUCCCAGAGCAUCAACAGAUUGUCCCCAAGACUGCAACAAGGAUCCUACUGCAGAGCAAAGUCCCACCACAGAGCCUUUGAAGGAAUCUACCCAUGAAGAACCUGGAAACGAUGUCCAGCCUGUUCUCCAUGAGGAGGAUCCAGCAACCCCACCAUGCACCACUGAAACCUGUGGUAAACGCGUCCAAUCUCUUGAGCAAGAAUGCCAAGCUCUGAGGACUGAAAAUAUGUUGUUGAAGGAAAAAAUGAAUAGGACUACACUGAAUGAGAUGAGCUUGCAUAACGAUGAUAAAAGGGUUCAUACUCUCACUGGUUUAUCAGCAUUCUCCAUUCUCAUGACAAUUUUUCAUAUUGUGGCUCCUUUUCUCCAACUUAAAUCUAGUUUAACAUGUUUUCAGCAGUACAUGUUAACUUUAAUUAAGCUUAGAAUGAACUUGUCCUUUGAGUUUUUGGCUUUUAUUUUGACAUUGACUCAACCACUGUUUCAAAGCUCUUCAAACACUGCAUUAGUGUGAUGCAUUGUAGACUGGUGCCAAGUCUGGUGUUGUGGCCUGACAGAGA